UUCACAUGGCAUAACCUGGAGUGCAGAGCCAGGGAGUGGAAGAGGGGUGAGCGUUUCAGUAGCUCCUGCCCAACAAAUCCACCCUGAACUGCACCUGGGACUGCAAGACUUGUCUGUGUCAGCCUCGGAGGUGAUGAUCUGGAGAGCAGGAAUGCUCCAUGGCAGCCUGUGCAGCUCCUCCUGGCCCAGAUUCCAUUGCACAUAUUUGACACUGUUGAUGCAGCUCACAGUGCACUGUCAUCUGAUGGAGGUGUGCGGAGCUGCUGCGGUAGAGGGAAGGGAAUUUCGCCAUCACCCAGACGGAGCGGCUGCUUCUUCUCCUUCUUCCCUCUUUGUUGGUGGCCUCACACCC